UACGUAGGGCGCAAGCGUUGUCCGGAAUCAUUGGGCGUAAAGAGCUCGUAGGCGGCCUGUCGCGUCCGCUGUGAAAUCCCGGGGCUUAACCCCGGGCGUGCAGUGGAUACGGGCUGGCUGGAGGCAGGCAGGGGAGAACGGAAUUCCCGGUGUAGCGGUGAAAUGCGCAGAUAUCGGGAGGAACACCGGUGGCGAAGGCGGUUCUCUGGGCCGAUACUGACGCUGAGGAGCGAAAGCGUGGGGAGCGAACAGG
rnacentral:rRNA from 1 species